UCCCUGGAGGACUAGUGGUUAGGCCAAAGUGUUCUCACUGCUGCGGCCCAGGUUCGAUUCCCAGCCAGGGAA
rnacentral:tRNA from 1 species